ACGAAGGGGGCUAGCGUUGUUCGGAAUUACUGGGCGUAAAGCGCGCGCAGGCGGUCCUUUAAGUCGGGGGUGAAAGCCCAGAGCUCAACUCUGGAACUGCCUUCGAAACUAGAGGACUUGGGUUCGGGAGAGGUGAGUGGAAUUCCGAGUGUAGAGGUGAAAUUCGUAGAUAUCGGGAGGAAGGCCGGUGGCGAAGGCGGCGCUCUGGAACAUUUCUGACGCUGAGGCUCGAAAGCGUGGGGAGCAAACGGGA
rnacentral:rRNA from 1 species